ACGAGUGAGCAAAGUCACUUUCCCUUCGGGGCAUUGGAGACAGGUGGUGCAUGGUUGUCGUCAGCUCGUGUCGUGAGAUGUUGGGUUAAGUCCCGCAACGAGCGCAACCCCUAUUUCCAGUAGCCAGCAAGAAAGAUGGGAACUCUGGAGAGACUGCCCGGGAUAACUGGGAGGAAGGCGGGGAUGACGUCAAAUCAUCAUGCCCCUUAUGAUCAGGGCUACACACGUGCUACAAUGGCGUAAACAAAGGGAAGCGAAGUGGUGACACGAAGCAAAUCCGAAAAACAACGUCUCAGUUCGGAUUGUAGUCUGCAACUCGACUACAUGAAGCUGGAAUCGCUAGUAAUCGCGAAUCAGAAUGUCGCGGUGAAUACGUUCCCGGGUCUUGUACACACCGCCCGUCACACCAUGGGAGUCGGAAAUGCCCGAAGUCAGUGACCCAACCGAGAGGAGGGAGCUGCCGAAGGUGGAGCCGGUAACUGGGGUGAAGUCGUAACAAGGUAGCCGUAUCGGAAGGUGCGGCUG
rnacentral:rRNA from 1 species